AUUGAACGCUGGCGGCAGGCCUAACACAUGCAAGUCGAGCGGAUGAAGGGAGCUUGCUCCUGGAUUCAGCGGCGGACGGGUGAGUAAUGCCUAGGAAUCUGCCUGGUAGUGGGGGAUAACGUCCGGAAACGGGCGCUAAUACCGCAUACGUCCUGAGGGAGAAAGUGGGGGAUCUUCGGACCUCACGCUAUCAGACGAGCCUAGGUCGGAUUAGCUAGUUGGUGGGGUAAAGGCCUACCAAGGCGACGAUCCGUAACUGGUCUGAGAGGAUGAUCAGUCACCCUGGACCUGAGACACGGUCCAGACUCCUACGGGAGGCAGCAGUGGGGAAUAUUGGACAAUGGGCGAAAGCCUGAUCCAGCCAUGCCGCGUGUGUGAAGAAGGUCUUCGGAUUGUAAAGCACUUUAAGUUGGAGGAAGGGCAGUAAGUUAAUACCUUGCUGUUUUGACGUUACCAACAGAAUAAGCACCGGCUAACUUCGUG
rnacentral:rRNA from 1 species